AGUGAACGCUGGCGGCGUGCCUAAUACAUGCAAGUCGAACGAAGUGGCGAACGGGUGAGUAAUAUAUAGUUAAUCUGCCCUACACAGAGGCACAACAGGUGGAAACGGCUGAUAAUACCUCAUAGUGUAGGAUGAGACUAUAUCGUAUCAGCUAGUUGGUAAGGUAAUGGAUUACCAAGGCGAUGACGCGUAACUGGUCUGAGAGGAUGAUCAGCAAAAUUGGAACUGAGACACGGGUCGAACUCCUACGGGAGUCAGCAGUAAGGUAUAUUGCCCAAGGGGCGAAACCCUGGCGCAGCAACGCCGCGUAGAGGACGACACUUUUCGGAGCGUAAACUCCUUUUAUCAUGAACGCGGUACCUGAUGAAUAAGCACCGGCUAACUCCGUGCCAGCCGCCGCGGUAAUAC
rnacentral:rRNA from 1 species